rnacentral:rRNA from 1 species
GACGAACGCUGGCAGCGUGCUUAACACAUGCAAGUCGAACGGUAAGGCCCUUCGGGGUACACGAGUGGCGAACGGGUGAGUAACACGUGGGUGAUCUGCCCUGCACUUCGGGAUAAGCCUGGGAAACUGGGUCUAAUACCGGAUAGGACCACUGCCUGCAUGGGUGGUGGUGGAAAGCUUUUGCGGUGUGGGAUGGGCCCGCGGCCUAUCAGCUUGUUGGUGGGGUGAUGGCCUACCAAGGCGACGACGGGUAGCCGGCCUGAGAGGGUGACCGGCCACACUGGGACUGAGAUACGGCCCAGACUCCUACGGGAGGCAGCAGUGGGGAAUAUUGCACAAUGGGCGCAGGCCUGAUGCAGCGACGCCGCGUGAGGGAUGCCGGCCUUCGGGUUGUAAACCUCUUUCAGCACCGACGAAGCGCAAGUGACGGUAGGUGCAGAAGAAGGACCGGCCAACUACGUGCCAGCCGCCGCCGUAA